CCUACGGGGGGCAGCAGUGAGGAAUAUUGGUCAAUGGGCGAGAGCCUGAACCAGCCAAGUCGCGUGAGGGAGUACUGCCCUAUGGGUUGUAAACCUCUUUUGUCGGGGAGCAAAAGCCGGACGUGUCCGGCUGUGAGAGUACCCGAAGAAAAAGCAUCGGCUAACUCCGUGCCAGCAGCCGCGGUAAAACGGAGGAUGCGAGCGUUAUCCGGAUUUAUUGGGUUUAAAGGGUGCGCAGGCGGAUUUUUAAGUCAGCGGUAAAAUCGUGGGGCUCAACCCCAUCCAGCCGUUGAAACUGGGGAUCUAGAGUGUGCGAGAGGUAUGCGGAAUGCGUGGUGUAGCGGUGAAAUGCAUAGAUAUCACGCAGAACCCCGAUUGCGAAGGCAGCAUACCGGUGCACAACUGACGCUCAGGCACGAAAGCGUGGGUAUCGAACAGGAUUAGAUACCCCUGUAGUC
rnacentral:rRNA from 1 species